rnacentral:rRNA from 1 species
AGAGUUUGAUCCUGGCUCAGAUUGAACGCUGGCGGCAUGCCUAACACAUGCAAGUCGCACGCGAAAGGGGGCAACCCCGAGUAGAGUGGCGGACGGGUGCGUAAUACGCAGGAAUCUACCCACGAGUGGGGGACAACCCGGGGAAACCCGGGCUAAUACCGCAUGAGACCUACGGGUGAAAGCGGGGGAUCGCAAGACCUCGCGCUGGUGGAUGAGCCUGCGUCCGAUUAGCUAGUUGGUAGGGUAAAAGCCUACCAAGGCAACGAUCGGUAGCUGGUCUGAGAGGACGACCAGCCACACUGGGACUGAGACACGGCCCAGACUCCUACGGGAGGCAGCAGUGGGGAAUAUUGGACAAUGGGGGCAACCCUGAUCCAGCAAUGCCGCGUGUGUGAAGAAGGCCUUCGGGUUGUAAAGCACUUUCGAUGGGGACAAACGUGUCGGGCUUAAUACGUCCGGCCUUGAUGGUACCCAGAGAAGAAGCACCGGCUAACUCUGUGCCAGCAGCCGCGGUAAUACAGAGGGUGCAAGCGUUAAUCGGAAUUACUGGGCGUAAAGCGUGCGUAGGUGGUUGGAUAAGUCAGGUGUGAAAUCCCCGAGCUCAACUUGGGAAUUGCGCUUGAUACUGUCCGGCUAGAGUGUGGUAGAGGGUAGUGGAAUUCCGCAUGUAGCGGUGAAAUGCGUAGAUAUGUGGAGGAACAUCAGUGGCGAAGGCGGCUACCUGGACCAACACUGACACUGAGGCACGAAAGCGUGGGUAGCAAACAGGAUUAGAUACCCUGGUAGUCC